rnacentral:rRNA from 1 species
UCCAGACUCCUACGGGAGGCAGCAGUGGGGAAUAUUGGGCAAUGGGCGCAAGCCUGACCCAGCAACGCCGCGUGAAGGAAGAAGGCUUUCGGGUUGUAAACUUCUUUUAAGGGGGAAGAGUAGAAGACGGUACCCCUUGAAUAAGCCACGGCUAACUACGUGCCAGCAGCCGCGGUAAUACGUAGGUGGCAAGCGUUGUCCGGAUUUACUGGGUGUAAAGGGCGUGCAGCCGGAGAGACAAGUCAGAUGUGAAAUCCGCGGGCUCAACCCGCGAACUGCAUUUGAAACUGUUUCCCUUGAGUAUCGGAGAGGUCAUCGGAAUUCCUAGUGUAGCGGUGAAAUGCGUAGAUAUUAGGAAGAACACCAGUGGCGAAGGCGGAUGACUGGACGACAACUGACGGUGAGGCGCGAAAGCGUGGGGAGCAAACAGGAUUAGAUACCCCUGUAA